AAUCGUCCUCAGCAAAAAGAGGAGGAUUGGUGGCAAAUAUUAGCUCAGGGCUAAUCUUCCUAAAAAAACAAAAGGUGUUAAAAAUGUAAAGAUUCAGGGAAAACAUUUGCUGUUAUUAAAGGUAUAAUAUUUUAUAUAGUUAUGUAUUUACUGUAAGUUAUAUUGAAUAUGUAGAAUAUGUGGAAUAUAUACACUGAGUUGUGUGUGUAUAUACAUACAUAUAUAUACAUAUCUGAAUAUAGAGAGAUAUGAAAUAACUCCAUUUAAAAAGUUAAUUUAGAAAUUACCUGAGGGUAAUUUGGCAAAUUUACAUGGAGUGACUUCAGACAACUUUUUAAAGGCUCUGUGUCAAAAACCUAAAAAAAUCUGCAAAAUCUAUAGGCUUCAUUCACAGUUCACCAUUGUCUCACUAACACCCUUUUUCUGGCUCAGGAUUUAAUCCAGCGUCACCUGGUAUAUUUAGUCGUGGUAUCGCCUUAGUCUUCUGUAAUCUAAAUUCCUCAGAAUUUCUUUGCCUUUCAUGACCUUGGUACUUUUUGAAGAGUACUGGUUAGUUCUUUUGUAGAAUGGCCCUCAAUUUUGGUUUGUUUGAUGUUUCUCAUAAUUAAGAAAUUUUGGUAAGAACUCCAUGGAAGUGAUGUUGUAUCCUCCUUUAGUGUAUCAUACCAGGAGGCACUGGAUGUCAACUUGUCUCAUUAUUGGUGAUGUAACUUUGAUUACUUGGUUAAGGUGGUGUCUGCCGGGUUUCUCUAUUGUGAGGUUACUAUUUUAUCCUUUGUAAGUAAUUAUCUUCUGGGAAGAUACUUUGAGACAACAUAACUAUCCCAUUUCUCAUUGUAUUCCACCCACAAUUUUUAGGGUUUAUUGAUGAUUCUUGCCUGAAAUAUUGCUGUGUUAUAUGUCAAAUGGUAGUUUUCUAUUUCCAUCAUCCCUUCUACAUUUAACUGGAAUUCUGUAAAGGAAGAGCUUUCCUUUCCCCCUCAUUUCUUUAUUCAAUUAUUUAUACCGUUAUAGACUAAGGAGUAUAUAUUUUACUUGAUGAGUUAUAAUCCGUUACUGUUGUUAUAUUGUUACACAAAUUAUAUCAAAUUUACCCAUUGCGAGGCCCUUCAAGUUGGCUCUUGUGCCCUUCUCCUUUUUUAACAUUGUUUACUGGCUAACAUUGACAGUGUACUUUUGCAUUUAUAAGGUUCAUGGAUGUAAAUCAGUGCUAGCUGUGCAACACUGUUAUUCACUAGGCAUUUUGAGACUUGGCAUCCUCAGAAAAUGGGGACACCAGUACACAUGUUGGAGGAACAGGAUGGGGAUGAAAUGACAUGAUGGCUGUUGGGAACCAAUAGUGGGCACUAAAUAAAUAUCUCUUUUCCUUUAUAGAUUUGAAAUGCAUCUUUUCACUAUCUUUCACCUAGAUAAAUAGAUACAUAGACCAAUAGGUAGUUAACUAUUAGUGAUAUCUGACAAUACCUGAAGUGAAUUGAGGCAAACACUCUGAUUAAGAUCACUUUAAAAAAAAUUUCAGCUAUUAUCUGGAGUGCACAAACCUAAACAAUAAUAUUCUAGAAAUUUAUAUUUAUUGAUUGCUGUAUCUUGUGUGCGUUUGAUAUGGUCAAAUUUUAAGAUGGGCCCCGAGAUUCCCAGCUCCUGGUAUAACAUUCAGUUAUUCGAUCAAAUACUAAUUUAGGUACUGUGAAAAGAUUUGGCAGAUGUGAUUAAAGUCCCGAACCAGAGACAGGGAGAUGAUUCAGGUGGGCCUGACCUAAUCAUGUGAGCACUUUAAAUAUGGGUAAUGAGGUCAGAGACAGACAGAAGUGCAAAGCAUGGGAGGGAUCAAUAUGAGAGUAAUUCUCCUUCUGACUCUGGAGGGAGCCAUGUGACAAGAACCUGAGAGCAGCCUACUGAGGCUGAGAGUCCCAGUGGUCAACCAGCAAUGAAACAAGGACCUCAGUCCUACAUCCUCAAGGAUCUCAACUCAGCCGACAACCUGAAUGAACUUGGAAGUGCCUUCUUCCCCAGAGCUUCCAGAAGGAACACAGCCUGACAAGCCUGGAACCUUGAUUUCAGCUUUGUGAUAUUCUGAACAGAGAACAUUGCAUGUCAAGCUGGACUUCUGACCCACAGAACUCACUUCUUACCUUCUCACACAAGAUGUUCUGGCACAGAUGUUUCUCUUGUAAUUUCUCCACCCUAUUCCUGGAAUCAUUUCUCCCCCAGCCCUGAUUCCUUUAUUGAAGAAUGGUAUUUAGAAAUGAGAGUCUGGGUGCAAGAUCUGCUCGUUGGUACUGGGUAUCUUUGCUUCUGGGUCCUCUUAGCUGACAGAGUGAUAAAAUAGAUGUUUGUGUAUACAGCUAUAUGUGUUUCUAUAUCUAUCUGUAUACUUGUAUCUAUAUCUGUAUAUAUAUAUAUGUUUUAAAAAACACAUGAGUUCAUACUGAUACUUCCAAUCCAACACCACAGGGUUCAUUCUUACUUCCCUCUUAUUAGUAACUCCUUUCUCCAACAGUGAGGAAACUGGGAAAAUAUCAUUAUAUACUUUUGACUUUAGCCUUUGGAUAUUCAAUUAAAAUAUUGUUUUCCAGAGUUAAUUAGGUUGGUUCCUUUUUUCCAUCCCUCUCUUCAGAGUGGUUAUGUUAUUAUUUGUAAUACAGUUGGGUUCAUUUGUUUCUGUUUCAGUUUUGACUUUCCUUUUAUGUUUUUUUAAUUUCACAGAUUGGUAAGACAGUCAUAUGGUUCUACAAGACAGAACUAUAUAAAGAUGUAUAAUCAGAGAAAUGUCAGUCCCUCUAACUUCUACCCCAUUCUCAUUUCCUGUUUUUCCUACUUUGUUCCCACUUACCCUGUAAAUAAACCAUCUCAUUAGUU